GAUGAACGCUGGCGGCGUGCUUAACACAUGCAAGUCGAACGGACAGGCCCUGCUUUUGUUGGUUGCUCGAGUGCCGAACGCGUGAGUAACACGUGAGUAUCCUCUCCUUAUCAUUGGGAUAUAUUCAGGAAACUCGGGCUCAUACCCGAUAUGAGAUCCUGCAGCAUGGUGGGGAUUGGAAAGUUUCGGCUGUUGGGGAUGGACUCGCGGCUUAUCAGCUUGUUGGUGGGGUAGUGGCUGACCAAGGCUUUGACGGCUAGCCGGCCUGAGAAGGUGACCGGCGACAAGGGUACUGAGGGACGGACCAGACGCGUACGGGAGGCAGCAGGGGAGAAUAUGGCGCAGUAGGCGGAAGCCAGAGGCAGCAACGCCGCGUGCGGGAUGAUGUGUUAUUAGGGGAAAACCGAUUUCUCCGUAGACAAAGCGGUAGUGACGGUAAUUGGUAAAGAAGCAACGGCUAACUACGUG
rnacentral:rRNA from 1 species